rnacentral:rRNA from 1 species
GUGUCAGCCGCCGCGGUAAAACGUAGGGGGCGAGCGUUAUCCGGAAUCACUGGGCGUAAAGGGCGUCUAGGCGGCUCGGCAAGUCCUGUGUGAAAUCUCCUGGCUCAACCAGGAGGGUGCAUGGGAAACUGCCGAGCUUGGGACUCGGAGGGGGGUGCGGAAUUCCCGGUGGAGCGGUGGAAUGCGUUGAGAUCGGGAGGAACACCUGAGGCGAAGGCGGCACCCUGGCCGAGAUCUGACGCUGAAGCGCGACAGCGUGGGGAGCGAACGGGAUUAGAAACCCUCGUAGUCC